GCGAGAAAACUUUGCAAUGUGCGAAAGCACGACAAGGUUAAUCCGAGUGGUUUCUGCUAAAGAAACCUUUUGUCAGUCCUAGAAACACUAACGAAUAAGGGGUGGGCAAGUUCUGGUGUCAGCCGCCGCGGUAAAACCAGCACCUCAAGUGGUCAGGAUGAUUAUUGGGCCUAAAGCAUCCGUAGCUCGUUUUGUAAGUUUUCGGUUAAAUCCAUACGCUUAACGUAUGGGCUGCCGGGAAUACUGCAUAACUAGGAAGUGGGAGAGGUAGACGGUACUCGGUAGGAAGGGGUAAAAUCCUUUGAUCUAUUGAUGACCACCUGUGGCGAAGGCGGUCUACCAGAACACGUUCGACGGUGAGGGAUGAAAGCUGGGGGAGCAAACCGGAUUAGAUACCCGCGUAGUCCCUGAGCGGGCUGGCAAGGCGCAU
rnacentral:rRNA from 1 species